UACGUAGGUGGCAAGCGUUGUUCGGAAUUAUUGGGCGUAAAGGGCGCGUAGGCGGUUUGUUAAGUCGGCUGUGAAAGCCCGGGGCUCAACCCCGGAGGGUCAGCCGAUACUGGCAGACUAGAGUACGGCAGAGGGGGAUGGAAUUCCGCGUGUAGCAGUGAAAUGCGUAGAUAUGCGGAGGAACACCGAUGGCGAAGGCAAUCCCCUGGGCCUGUACUGACGCUCAUGCACGAAAGCGUGGGGAGCAAACAGG
rnacentral:rRNA from 1 species